rnacentral:rRNA from 1 species
CGAGCGCCCGCAAGGGGAGCGGCAGACGGGUGAGUAACGCGUGGGAACGUACCUUUUGCUACGGAAUAACUCAGGGAAACUUGUGCUAAUACCGUAUGUGCCCUUCGGGGAAAGAUUUAUCGGCAAAGGAUCGGCCCGCGUUGGAUUAGCUAGUUGGUGAGGUAAAGGCUCACCAAGGCGACGAUCCAUAGCUGGUCUGAGAGGAUGAUCAGCCACACUGGGACUGAGACACGGCCCAGACUCCUACGGGAGGCAGCAGCC